GAUGAACGCUGGCGGCGUGCUUAACACAUGCAAGUCGAACGCUGAAGCUUGGAGCUUGCACUGGGAGGGUGAGCGGCGAACGGGUGAGUAAUACGUGAGUAACCUGCCCUUGACUCUGGGAUAAGCACGGGAAACUGGGUCUAAUACUGGAUACGACAUGCCACUGCAUGGUGCUGUGUGGAAAGGGUUUUUCUGGUUUUGGAUGGGCUGACGGCGUAUUAGCUUGUUGGCGGGGUAAUGGCCCACCAAGGCGACGACUGGUAGCCGGCCUGAGAGGGUGGCCAGCGACACUGGGACUACGGCACGGAGCAGACGCCUACGGGAGGCAGCGGUGGGGAGUAUUGCACAAUGAGCGGGCGCCUGAUGCGACGACGCCGCGUGAGGGAUGACGGCCUUCGGGUUGUGAACCUCUGUCAGCACGGAAGAAGCGAGAGUGACGGUACGUGAAGAAGAAGCGCCGGCUAACUACGUG
rnacentral:rRNA from 1 species